AUUGAACGCUGGCGGCAGGCCUAACACAUGCAAGUCGAACGAGUGGCGGACGGGUGAGUAAUGUCUGGGAAACUGACUGAUGGAGGGGGAUCACUACUGGAAACGGUCGCUAAUACCGCAUACCAUCUUCUUUGCCCAGAUGGGAUUAGCUAGUAGGUGGGGUAAAGGCUCACCUAGGCGACGAUCCCUAGCUGGUCUGAGAGGAUGACCAGCCACGUUGGAACUGAGAAACGGUCCAGACUCCUACGGAAGGCAGAAGGGGGGAAUAUUGGACAAUGGGCGCAAGCCUGAUGCAGCCAUGCGGCGUGGGUGAAGAAGGCCUUCGGGUUGUAAAGUACUUUCAGCGGGGAGGCGUUACCCGCAGAGGAAGCACCGGCUAACUACGUGCCAGCAGCCGCGGUAAUUC
rnacentral:rRNA from 1 species